UCAUACCGAAACGCAUUACUGCUUCACGGCAGAAAUGGGCAGGGUGGUGGUACCUACACGUGCGGACUCACAAAAGGUAAUUAAUGAUUAUAAUUAUCACAGUAAUUACGCAAAUUAUAAUUUAGAUAUAGAACGAAAUUACAACCAAAUACAUCGGUAACAGAUACCUCGCUCUUACCGCUAUUACUCCGAACAUAGCUUCUCAAUUUCGAAGGCUGUUAGGAAUUACGAUUGAUUUGCCCACUGAGUUUGUCGCCGGAUCUUCUUUGUGGUUCGCGAUUCUGAUCCAGCGGUAGAUUCAGCGAAGCACUGCUGUUGAUUGACUAAUAUUAGCAAAUUCUCUCAAGUUGAGCCCGUGGGCUCACCUACCUGUUCGGACGUAGCUGGCAUAGGCCCAUAGGCUAGACCCUUUGAUGGUAAAACAUUUUUUCCUAUCUAUGAAAUCUGUACAUUUUACACACUCAACAUGUUGUAAAAUUUUGUUUUAUUGCCACAAUAAUUUCAUAAUCAAAAGGUAUUCUGUAUGAAAGUUAAAUAAUUAAAAGGGAUUAUUAAACGAUUCUCGCCACGUGUCAAAACCAAUUGCACAUAUUCAGUUGAUUGGCGGUUUCGGAAGGAGGACAUAAAAACACUAGUCUAACGGGUUUCUGAAGUAUUAUGUAUUCUCAACGGCUAUUAAUUCAUUAAAGUUACGUAUGAGACACAUUUUACGCACACAAGUGAGACGUCACCUAGUCGCUGUGCUUCUGAGUACUCAACUUGUAACACCAUUAACUAGUGUAUGUACCUAACAGAUAACCAGUUCCGCAGUCUGCCGCUAGAUGGGUCUAUUGAAAAGAUCGAGCCUAGAAUUGAUUUUAAGAUAACCUUUGGACAGUAACAUUCAAAAUGACGACUUUGACGCCAACUGCUGCACCCGGAAUUCGGUGAAAUCAACAGUCCGAAAAAACCGAGAUCCAGAUCCAAAAAACUGAUUUUCUCUACAUCUAACAUGAAGUUUGUGUGCGAGAGAGAAGGUCCAUUCAUUAGGUACAGUUUUAAAUGUGUUAGAAAGAAUAAAACAUAAUAGUAGAAUAUCUGUUAUGAGUCCAAACUCCAGACUAUUCACACCCGGAAUUCGGCGACUCAACAGUUGACGCAUAUCUUGUUGAACCCGGAAUUCGGCGAUUGCACUUUUGUUUUACAUUUUUGUGUAAUAUUUUUUGGAGGGCUUCCAUCAUUUUUCCAUUUAAAACUGUAGACGACAUCAUAAUUGUUGUCGCCGCAACGAAUAGUAAUUUUCUAUUGUGACGUACUUCUAGUAAUUUUAAUUAUCAAAUUCCAUUUUACUAUGAAAUUAAAAUUUGAACUGAACAAAAAUUUUGAACACUAUUGUGUGAUCUCAAGUUGGAUGUCGGCAUCCACAUUGUUAUGUUUAUAAAGUCCGGUAAACACUUAACAUCAGGUGGAACGUGUACUCAUUCACCCCUCUCGUCAAAAAAAAACCGCAUAAGACAAAGUCAGGCCCUGUGCUGAUACACCAGAGGUAUCGCCAAGCCCACGAGUUCAGUAGUAUCCAGAACCCCUUUUCUGCUUCCCGUGCGGACGAGUGAUACGAAGAUGGCCACCUCCAUAGGGCAUCGCACCAUCGUCGAUCUUACCCUUUUUUUUUCCAUAGGUGAAAAUCGCCGGAUCCCUACCCGCGCGGCAGGUAGCUUAUGUGGAAGUUGAACCUCACUAAAAACUCACGCUCACACCCGGCGCCUUACCCCGGAUCGGGCCGGAGCCGAAUCAGGACUAUUGAGACGCCGGGGCAGGGUUGUUACAUCCAUCCCGCCUUUGAUCUUACCCAUAGCGAGCCUUUUAGAUCACGAACGGAAAACGAGUUCUAAUUUCACCAGAAAAUUCACCACUUUUCUACAGAAUUCCGGUAGCAUGAAAAGCUUUUUCAAUCCCACGUUUCCGACUUUUCAAAUAAACAACUGUCUCGCUGGUGACACGUGACUCACACUAAAGUGUAUUUUGAUGGUCGCUUCGACUAUAGUUAGCGUAAAUAUACGAUAUAUUAAGUGCUCACCGUGCGGAGUUUAAUUUUUUUUUUUUUUUUAUGAUUGAAUAUUUACUGGUGGCCCGGAGGCCUUUCCAGUUUCACCAGAACAGGUGGGCGAGCAAAGGCUCAGCCAGGAAGGAGUUUAAUUAUCUACUUAUACGAGUAUCGUUGCAUGCAUCAAAUCGUUAAAUUGUGUUAAGAGCUCUUAUAUGAUAAUACUUUGUACGGCUAUCAAACAUAACCCUUCCGGUUUGAGCCCCGUGAGUUCACCUACACGUUAGGGUGAAGCUAUAGUAACCUCUCAAGGCUAUCAGCAUAGGUAGGGAAAAAAAUAUAAUAUUAAGAUUAGGUGUGCGCCUCGGAGUUUUUUUUAUGUCUUUGAGACAGACAUGUUUAAGUCACACCAAAAAAGCAGUCUACAGCUACAUUAACUUUUAAGGUUAUCUUAUGUAAGAGAUCUUGUAAUGGAGUUCAAGGGGAACUACUGGCACCAUCAGCUGUCCGUGGCAGCCAUUUAUCUUGGUUACUAGUAAUAGGCAAUCCUGUGAGUCGCCGGGUACGUAACAUCAUCGUGUCUCGGUCUAUCGCAAAGCACUGAUGUGCUCCAGGCUUUAAGGACCGAAUAGCCGUUUUAUUGCAAUAUCGGAACUUUGAUCUCGUAUCAAAUAUAUAGUUGACUAGCUCACCCGGCAAACGUUGUCUUGCCAUAUAUAAGAUUUCUAGAGAAUUUCUAGUGUAGAAAAAAAAUUACUAACUUGUUGGAAGUGUAUAAGGAUGUGGAAUAUGAGUGAAAAAGGCCUGGAGCGCUGUGAACGAUGAGGGAAUGUUGUUUAAAAAUAACAAAACACCGAACAUUAAUUGUUUUAAUUUAUUAAAAGUAAUAAUUAUAUAUAUAUAUAUAUAAAUAAUUCAUUACAUAAUAUUAAUCUCUUAAUGCUGCAGCGUGAACAAUAUUUUUUGUUAGCCCGUCUUUAGCUAAUACAAACAAACUUGAUGGUUUACCCACUCGAGAGCAUACAACGUAUAAUUGUCCGUGUGAAAAACAUGGUGUGCUCAAAUCUAAGCCACAAACAGACAUUGUUUGGCCUUGGGAUUUAUUAAUAGUCAUUGCAAAUGGCAAUCUAAUCGGAAAUUGAAUACGCUUAAAUUGAAUUGACACAUCUGUGGGUAUAAUAGGUAUUCGUGCUAUCAAUAUAUUUUCACCUCGAAACUUGCCAUUUAAAAUGGUGCCUUCGAUAACUUUUUUCAUUAAUUUUUAAUGACUAAUCGCGUACCGUUGCAUAGCCGUGGCGGGUUCAAAUUACGAAGCAAAAUAAUUGGAGAUCCAACCUUCAAUUGUAAGUUAUGUGGUGGCAUGCCUGGCAAAUCCAGUGAGUUCAAAAACUCUGUUGGAAAAUUUACAGCUUCAGUGUCAUCGCAAACUGUAUCAAUAGAUUUAUAUGAUACCAAGUCCCCUGGCAAUAACUGUUGUAUCUUCAGAUUUAAAAUGUCAACAUCCACAUUUUUUGCAGCUAACAUUGCUCUUUCUGCAAGCCACUCGAGAUUUAUGUAAUUCGUGUGUACAUCGAGAAAUAUUUGUUCAAUGAGAGAAUUUUGCGAAUCAAUGAUAGUGCAGAAAUCAUUCGCUAAUUUUAUGUAUCCAGUUUCAGCUAUAGUGACUUUUCCAUCGCCGAUAUCUAAGAGUUGUUUUGAGAAUGUUUCAGCGGAUGGAUCUUGAAGCAUUUGAACGCGCAUAUUUACUUUCAGCUGUACUAUUUCAACAUUACGCCACAAUGUCGAUGAUUUUAAGCAGGCGUUGAUUUCACCAGCGUAUGUUGAACGUGGGAUGACGGGAAGUGUUUGUCUAAAGUCACCUGAAAGGACUAACCGAGUGCCACCAAAUAGUUUGUCGUUGUUUUUAAUAUCUUUCAAUGUCCUGUUUAACGCCUCAAGCGAAUGUUUGUGUGCCAUGGUACAUUCAUAUUUUCCACUCUAAGCACCGCCAUGUCACUGCCUUUAUGGACAUAAUUGCAAAUGUAUUUGAUGCUUUUCACAGAACUGCAGAACUCAACAUUAAUAUGAGCAUUGUAUGUUUUGCUCAGCAGGGGUGAAUAUGGCACGACCUAACGAUUUACAAUAUCAAUGUCUGUGUUGCUGAUGUUUUUAAUAAAUGAUUGUCCGCCAUUAUCUGGAUUCCUUCGACGAUAUGUUGGAUAUCCGUCGACAUUUGUGAUUGUAUCGUUAGUGAAAUCUUUAGGGAUUUUUUUUGUAGAUUUUCCAUCUGACAUGCAAGGCGAUGAACUAAAAAUGUUUAACUACUACGCUUGAAGCAUAAACACUAAUAAUAGCCGAAAACUGUAGAGGUAACAUCCCUACUCCGUGCUGUUUACUGGGUCAGAAGUGACACCUGUAGACAUCUGGCGGGGAUAACUAAUUAAAUGACGAUUGAUCAGUUUUCGACCGGAGAGGAAAAAUGAUUAAAUUACUAAAAUGGCUAUUAAAAAAUAAGGGUUGAUCGUAGAAGGGUGAAAAUUGAGGAUUGUAUGUAUUUUUGUAUGUUGUAUCAUAAAAAAAUAGAAAUUAAAAAUUUUGUCUAAAAAAUAAAAAAAUAAAUGUAGGGCUGGACUACCCCUAACAUUUAGGGGGAUGAAAAAUAGAUGUUGGCCGAUUCUCAUAGAUACCGGAUAAGCACAAAAAAUUUCAUCAAAAUCGGUCAAGCCGUUUCGGAGGAGUAUGGCAACGAAAACUGUGACACGAGAAUUUUAUAUAUUAGAUUUAAUUUCUCAUCGCAACAAAUGGGUGUUUAACUUUAUAGAUAUUUCAAAGGAAUUGAACAAAGUAUUCAUAAUGGUUUAAACAUUCUUAAGGUUUGUUUUGAAGGACAGCAGUUCUUCGUUAAAGCAUUUUCAGAUGAAUGCGUGACGCUGGCCAAGGGCGAAAUUAUAUGCAACAAUGAUUUUAAUAUGUUUGUAAUUUUAACAGAAAAUAAUUAUUAAAUUCGUUUUGAGAUAAUUAAUUAUUCAUAACUAGCGACCCGCCCUCGCUUCGCUUCGGAAACAUUAAAACACACAUGAAACCAAAAAAAAAAUAUAAAAAAAAAUUUCAAAAAAGUAGCCUAUGUUCAUCAGGGACAAUGUCGGCUUCUAAUGGAAAAAGAAUUUUUCAAAUCGGUCCAGUAGUUUCGGAGCCUAUUCGAAACAAACAAACAAACAAAUCUUUCCUCUUUAUAAUAUUAAGUAUAGAUAUAGACAAAACCAAUACUCCCGUUCUGCAUACAUCGCAAUAGCCCAGCCGUUGGUAUCUAGUUGCUAAGCUAAUUGCAACGAAUCACUAAGUAAACCAAAUAAUCAUACUAAAUAAGCACAUACAUUAUGCAAAUAUGUAUACGUACGUCACGAAAAAAGUUAUAUUAAACAGUUAGCGAAUAUUAUAAAAAUAAAUCUUUGAUCUAUCGCCGGGAUCGUGAUGGAGAGACGUAGAUCGACGUGAGCGAUUUAUUACGAUUGGCUGUUGGUGCGGGCUGAGAUUAACACGACCCAUUGUUUGGCCGUGUAUGACGUAAAAGAAUCAAGAUUAUACCAGAAAAUAGGUAGCAGAACUAUCUGCGUACUAUAUCAGCGCACUGCACUCGCCAAUCGAUUUACUAGGGCAUAUCGUCAGUCAGCACGAGUGGAUACCAUCAGCUACGCCUGAUUCGACUCGUCUGGUAUCUAGUAGUCACUGGAGCUCAUAUACAUAACAACAUGAACUGCUCACAAUGGCGCAUGAGGUCGGACUUCCAAUUUAAUUGGAUUAAGAUUAUCCUCUACUCCAUUUUUACGACCUUAGAUUAUUUAAAAACGAAUAAGUAUAUGGAGUUUCUGAUACAUGGUCUAAGUACACAUAUAAAUGUUUUGGUUUAUACUGUUAAUUUGUAAGUAGACUAAUUAAAUAAAUAAAUAAAUAAAUAAAUCUAUGCUAUUAAUGUACCAAUUA